rnacentral:rRNA from 1 species
GACGAACGCUGGCGGCGUGCUUAACACAUGCAAGUCGAACGGAAAGGCCCUGCUUUUGUGGGGUGCUCGAGUGGCGAACGGGUGAGUAACACGUGAGUAACCUGCCCUUGACUUUGGGAUAACUUCAGGAAACUGGGGCUAAUACCGGAUAGGAGCUCCUGCUGCAUGGUGGGGGUUGGAAAGUUUCGGCGGGUGGGGAUGGACUCGCGGCUUAUCAGCUUGUUGGUGGGGUAGUGGCUUACCAAGGCUUUGACGGGUAGCCGGCCUGAGAGGGUGACCGGCCACAUUGGGACUGAGAUACGGCCCAGACUCCUACGGGAGGCAGCAGUGGGGAAUAUUGCACAAUGGGCGGAAGCCUGAUGCAGCAACGCCGCGUGCUGGAUGACGGCCUUCGGGUUGUAAACCGCUUUCGCCUGUGACGAAGCGUGAGUGACGGUAAUGGGUAAAGAAGCACCGGCUAACUACGUG